rnacentral:rRNA from 1 species
UGCCAGACUCCUACGGGAGGCAGCAGUGAGGAAUAUUGGUCAAUGGGCGGGAGCCUGAACCAGCCAAGUCGCGUGAGGGAUGACGGCCCUAUGGGUUGUAAACCUCUUUUGCCGGGGAGCAAAGUGCCGCACGUGUGCGGUUUGGAGAGUACCCGGAGAAAAAGCAUCGGCUAACUCCGUGCCAGCAGCCGCGGUAAUACGGAGGAUGCGAGCGUUAUCCGGAUUUAUUGGGUUUAAAGGGAGCGUAGGCCGGUCUUUAAGCGUGCCGUGAAAUUUUGUGGCUCAACCAUGAGAGUGCGGCGCGAACUGGAGACCUUGAGUGCGCGGAAGGCAGGCGGAAUUCGUGGUGUAGCGGUGAAAUGCUUAGAUAUCACGAAGAACCCCGAUUGCGAAGGCAGCCUGCCGCAGCGUUACUGACGCUGAAGCUCGAAAGCGCGGGUAUCGAACAGGAUUAGAUACCCUCGUA